GACGGAGGGGGCAAGCGUUAUUCAUCCUUAUUGGGCGUAAAGGGUAUGUAGGUAAUGAAAAGUGUUUUUACAAAAAAUUCAGGUACCAUCUUGAGAUUUAAAAACAUUGAUUAAUUCGAGAUAGUGGAGGUUGGCGGUAUUACUAAUGUAAAGGUAAAAUCUUACGAUAUUAGUACGAAUACCAGGGGCGCAGGCGGCUUUCUUUAUUAUCUG
rnacentral:rRNA from 1 species